UGAGGAAUAUUGGACAAUGGUGGGAACACUGAUCCAGCCAUGCCGCGUGCAGGAAGACUGCCCUAUGGGUUGUAAACUGCUUUUAUAGAGGAAGAAAUAUAGAUACGUGUAUUUAUUUGACGGUACUCUACGAAUAAGGAUCGGCUAACUCCGUGCCAGCAGCCGCGGUAAUACGGAGGAUCCAAGCGUUAUCCGGAAUCAUUGGGUUUAAAGGGUCCGCAGGCUGUUGUUUAAGUCAGAGGUGAAAGUUUGCAGCUCAACUGUAAAAUUGCCUUUGAUACUGGAUGACUUGAGUUAUAAUGAAGUGGUUAGAAUAUGUAGUGUAGCGGUGAAAUGCAUAGAUAUUACAU
rnacentral:rRNA from 1 species